rnacentral:misc_RNA from 1 species
GUUAUGCUAAAUAACAGAUUUACUGGCAUUGCUUUCUUUUGUUUUCCAUUUCCAUAUAUAGAGAGAGGAGAGAGAAAGCGAGAGAGAGGAGAGAGAGAUCUUGUGUGUGUUUAUAUAUGUAUAUGCACACACAUAUAUAUAUUCAAAGAAGCAAAUCUGUGGGAAUAUUUUUUGGGGUGGAAUUUGGAAAUUGGAUCUGACGUUGAAAGAUUGCAGAAUGGAAGAUGGCAUAUUCUUUUGGGGCCCUGUAACAUCUAAAGAGUGGUGUGAGCCAAAUUAUGUGCAGUCAUCCUAUAUUGCAGAAUUCUUCAACACCAUUUCAAAUAUCCCAUGCAUUCUCUUGGCUCUUAUUGGUCUUGUCAACGCCCUUAGACAACGGUUUGAGAAAAGGUUCAGUGUCCUUCAUAUGUCAAACAUAAUACUUGCCUUGGGGAGUAUGACAUAUCAUGCCACUUUGCGGCAGAUGCAACAGCAAGGUGAUGAGACACCAAUGGUCUGGGAGAUGCUUCUGUAUAUCUAUAUCCUCUAUUCACCAGAUUGGCAUUAUCGGAGUACGAUGCCCACCUUUCUGUUCCUUUAUGGUGCGCUCUUUGCCAUUGUGCAUUCACAGCUUCGCUUUGGCAUUGGUUUCAAAGUACACUACGCACUUUUGUGCCUUCUUUGCGCUCCUCGUGCAUAUAAGUAUUACAUUCAUACAGAAGACACAUUGGCUAAGCGCCUCGCAAAGUUAUACGUGGCAACUUUGUUGGUCGGAGCUGCUUGCUGGCUAUGUGAUCGAUUAUUCUGCAAGCAGAUUCAGGGCUGGUACAUUAAUCCACAGGGCCAUGCAGUCUGGCACGUCUUAAUGGGCUUCAACUCGUACUUUGCAAAUGCAUUCUUGAUGUAUUGCCGUGCUCAGCAACGUGAAUGGAAUCCCAAAAUCAAGCACUUGUUCGGUUUUUUCCCCUAUGUGAAGAUUGAGAAACCGAAAACCCAGUAGCAGAAGUCGCUUCUCUUUCGAGCUUAGCCUGUAAUACCCCAAACAUGUGCAGGAUAUGGCUUUGGUGAGCACAAAGCAAGCACUCAGCAAUUUUUUUUCUCUUUUCCCAUUUUGCAGAAUGUAUUGUAAAUGAAAGUCUGGAAUAGUUUCGACUCUCGACCGAAUAUUGGUUAAUUUUUGACUGUACAAUUAGUGGUUUUCCAGUGUACCAUAUUUUACACUCCCACAGAAGAUGACAUGGAUUAACUAGUUGAAUUCUUU